rnacentral:rRNA from 1 species
AUGAGCGCGGUGGCCGUGGCGCCGCAGGAGACGGCCUCCUUGGGCACCUUCCCGACGCGGUCGAUGGCCUCGGCGAAGAUGACCCCCAUCCCCAUGUGGAGGUGCGGCUCGAUGUGGCAGUGGAACGCCCACACCCCGGGGUUGUCCGCCACGAACCGCAGCGCCGUCCACCCGUACGGGAAGAUCACCGCCGUGUUCCGCAGCGGCGGGUUCGCCAGGUUCAGCCUCGCCGCGUCGGCGGCGUCGCCCCUGUACGCGCCCUCGCCGUACCCGAGCACCCAGAAGUCGUGCCCGUGCAGGUGCCACGGGUGCACCUCGCUCACGUUGUGCUGCAGCGCGUUGGCGUUCUGGAGCACCACGUCCACCGUGGUGUUGUGGCGGAGCACGUACACGUUGUCCCCCGUCGCCGGCGGCGGGGGCGUGCCGGCGCGGGCCUUGAUCUGGGUCGUGAACGCCUUGCUGUGCGCCGUGUCGUUCCACGCCGGGGUCACUGGCGGCGCGAUGGCCGGCAGCUUGAACCCGCGGUUGGGCCGGUAG